rfam:Strongylocentrotus purpuratus Contig141217_fixed, whole genome shotgun sequence.
CCAACAGUCUUUUUAAAGACUACAAAAAAAAACCAAGAAGAUUAC